rnacentral:rRNA from 1 species
UACAGAGGUCUCAAGCGUUGUUCGGAUUCAUUGGGCGUAAAGGGUGCGUAGGCGGCGCGGUAAGUCGGGUGUGAAAUCUUGGAGCUUAACUCCGAAACUGCAUUCGAUACUGCCGUGCUUGAGGACUGGAGAGGAGACUGGAAUUUACGGCGUAGCGGUGAAAUGCGUAGAUAUCGUAAGGAAGACCAGUGGCGAAGGCGGGUCUCUGGACAGUUCCUGACGCUGAGGCACGAAGGUCAGGGGAGCAAACGGG